GGCACCUUUUGGGAUGAGCACUGGGUGUUGUUUGGAAACCAAUUUGACAAUAAAUUUCAUACAUUGAAAAAAAUAAAAAAGAAAAAAAAGAAAAAAAAGGAAAAGAAAAAUAAAGUGAGCAACAGGGGUUCCUUCUCACAUCACAUUAUCCCCCGCCUACAUUUCUGUCACCCUCUUCCCCUUUUAAAGACUUGUAAUUAAACUGCGCCUCCCCAGAUAAUCCAGGAUUAUCUCCCUUCUCAAGAUCCUUAACCUAAAUCACAGCUUCAAAAUCUCUUUUGUCAGGUAAAAAUCACAUGAAUAUGCAUUCUGAGGAUCUGAGUGUUGACAUCUUUGGGGAACCCUGUUUCAGCCCACCCCAUUAUAAUGACUACCGUUAUUUAAGAAUGCCCCCCCCCUUUUUUGUAAACUAUGUAACCCUGUUCCUCAAAAUGCCAUUUUAACUAUUUUUACCAAUCUUACUAGUUCCCUUAUGGAUGAGUCAGUAAAUCUUUAACACGUUUAUUCUACAUUUGUACAUUUUUAACUUUUUGAAAACCGUAGUAAUUAUACCCAUCAGUUCUGGAGGCUUCAAUAAGAUUGCCAAGUGGUCUAACCUGCCAGGGCCCAUUUAACUAUGAUGCACGGGGAGCAGACCUCAUGGGCUGUCCAGCCUAGCAUGCUAUUUUGGCUCCUGGGAUGGAGUGCAAAUGAUAAACAUGGUAAUAGACGUUACCUUCCCUAGCUCUCUGUCUCUGAAAUCGAAUUCUAAGUUGUUCUUUUUAAUUUCUGCUCCUUGACCAACUUUAGUCCUGGUUCUGAUUAGUGCAUGGCUGGGACGUUAUCGGCCAUUGUUGACUACAAUGACUGCAAUGACUACAAUGACUACAAUGACUACGAUGACCAGGGCCCCAGCUUUCUGGGCUGAUGAUUUGGUGAUUUCUCCUGAAAUGGUGGCAUCUAUUCUCUGUUGGAAUCCAGUCUGUGAUGGAGGCAUUCAUUCAGGAACCCAGGCUACAGACUGUCUGCCAUCUUCAAUGUGUGACUACUUCCAAAGUUGCCCUGGGUAUUGGUAUUCAGCUGGUGGCUGCUGGAGAGAGAUUUGAGGAUUGGGUGAGAGGUUUUCAGGGGUCAGGCUCGAAAAGGUAUCUUCCACCACAUCCCCUAGGACAGAACUCAGUGACAGAGUCACAGUGACCCACAAGGCAGGCAGGGUUGCAGGCCAGCUGUGUUCCUAGACAGAGAGAGAAAUGGUCUUGGUAAUAGCUACCGAGUCCUUACCACAGCUUCUGGAAGUCAGAAUCCCGGAGUCCCUUCAGCCCUCGCUGAUGCUGACUUUGGAGGUCCCUAGAAGGGGGGUGUGAGGUCGUGUCUAUUGAAAACCUCAUUUCACUCACUUGAGCUACUGGCUCAGGAACAAGUGUUAUGUUAGUACAAUCGUGAAAGUGACUAUUUCUUGUCCACAGACCCCGGGGGCAGACAGAGUCCUUUUCCUUCUUCUCCUUUAUCCUCACAGAUAGGAAGCCUUCAGUGUUAUUCCCAGAAUUUCAUUCAGUAGGGAGUGGGAAACAGUUGUCAGCCCCGGUGUGGGGAUUGAGAGGAUCCGGGUAAGCUUCUGGAAGGUGACUGAAGGCCGCCAUCAUUGGCUUCACCUGCAGGACCCGACUUCAGGUCACGGGACAGAGUGCUUCCUCGCCGUUCUGGACCAAGUGUUCUUGCUGCUAGCUGAGGGCACCGUGGAUGUGAGCCCACCUUCAUCUCCGCCAUUUCACCACCCUCACUUAGGGAAGAGGCCUAGAUAGGUCUGCAAGAACAUCUCAAAAAUAACAGAGUUCACUUUGUGCGUUGUUUUUGAAGAGUAGCUAUCCAACAAGAACCAUGCUAAUUUUGGGUCCCACACUCGCCUGGCAUGAUGACCAUGUAAGGAAGCUUUACGUCAUAAAUCCACUCAAGGACUGUAUGUACUAAAU